GACAGAGGUGCCAAGCGUUAGGCGGAAUCACUGGGCUUAAAGCGUGUGUAGGCGGAAUGGUAAGUACCUUGUGAAAUCCCACGGCUCAACCGUGGAACUGCUUGGUAUACUGCUUUUCUUGAGCCACUUAGGGGCUGUCGGAACAAACGGUGGAGCGGUGAAAUGCGUAGAUAUCGUUUGGAACGCCAAUGGUGAAAACAGGUAGCUGGGAGUGUGCUGACGCUGAGACACGAAAGCCAGGGGAGCAAACGGG
rnacentral:rRNA from 1 species